rnacentral:rRNA from 1 species
UACGUAGGGUGCGAGCGUUGUCCGGAAUUAUUGGGCGUAAAGAGCUCGUAGGCGGUGUGUCGCGUCGGUCGUGAAAACUUGGGGCUUAACCCUGAGCUUGCGGUCGAUACGGGCAUCACUUGAGUUCGGCAGGGGAGACUGGAAUUCCUGGUGUAGCGGUGAAAUGCGCAGAUAUCAGGAGGAACACCGGUGGCGAAGGCGGGUCUCUGGGCCGAUACUGACGCUGAGGAGCGAAAGCGUGGGGAGCGAACAGG